rnacentral:rRNA from 1 species
GAUGAACGCUGGCGGCGUGCCUAAUACAUGCAAGUCGAGCGAACAGACGAGGAGCUUGCUCCUCUGACGUUAGCGGCGGACGGGUGAGUAACACGUGGAAACCUACCUAUAAGACUGGGAUAACUUCGGGAAACCGGAGCUAAUACCGGAUAAUAUAUUGAACCGCAUGGUUCAAUAGUGAAAGACGGUUUUGCUGUCACUUAUAGAUGGAUCCGCGCCGCGUUAGCUAGUUGGUAAGGUAACGGCUUACCAAGGCGACGAUGCGUAGCCGACCUGAGAGGGUGAUCGGCCACACUGGAACUGAGACACGGUCCAGACUCCUACGGGAGGCAGCAGUAGGGAAUCUUCCGCAAUGGGCGAAAGCCUGACGGAGCAACGCCGCGUGAGUGAUGAAGGUCUUCGGAUCGUAAAACUCUGUUAUUAGGGAAGAACAAAUGUGUAAGUAACUAUGCACGUCUUGACGGUACCUAAUCAGAAAGCCACGGCUAACUACGUG